rnacentral:rRNA from 1 species
GACGAACGCUGGCGGCGUGCUUAACACAUGCAAGUCGAACGGAAAGGCCCUGCUUUUGCGGGGUGCUCGAGUGGCGAACGGGUGAGUAACACGUGAGUAACCUGCCCUUGACUUUGGGAUAACUUCAGGAAACUGGGGCUAAUACCGGAUAGGAGCUCCUGCUGCAUGGUGGGGGUUGGAAAGUUUCGGCGGUUGGGGAUGGACUCGCGGCUUAUCAGCUUGUUGGUGGGGUAGUGGCUUACCAAGGCUUUGACGGGUAGCCGGCCUGAGAGGGUGACCGGCCACAUUGGGACUGAGAUACGGCCCAGACGCCUACGGGAGGCAGCAGUGGGGAAUAUUGCACAAUGGGCGGAAGCCUGAGGCAGCAACGCCGCGUGCGGGAUGACGGCCUUCGGGUUGUAAACCGCUUUCGCCUGUGACGAAGCGUGAGUGACGGUAAUGGGUAAAGAAGCACCGGCUAACUACGUG